rnacentral:rRNA from 1 species
GAUGAACGCUGGCGGCGUGCUUAACACAUGCAAGUCGAACGGAAAGGCUCCUGCUUGCCGGGGUACUCGAGUGGCGAACGGGUGAGAAACACGUGGGUGAUCUGCCCUGCACUUCGGGAAAAGCCUGGGAAACUGGGACUAAUACAGGCUAGGAGGAUGGUUUGGAUGCCGUUGUGGAAAGCUCUUGCGGUGUGGGAUGAGUUCGCGGCCUAUCAGCUUGUUGGUGGGGUAAUGGCCUACCAAGGCGUAGACGGAUAGCCGGCCCGAGAGCGGGUACGGCGACAUUGGGCCUGAGAGACGGACCAGACUCGUACGUUAGGCAGCAGUGGGGAAUAUUGCACAAUGGGGGCGAGCCUGAUGCAGCGACGUCGGGUGUGUGAUGACGGCCUUCUGGUGGUAAACUCCUUUCGCUAGAGACGAAGCGCAAGUGACGGUACCUGGAGAAGAAGCACCGGCUAACUACGUG